UGUUUUUGAUAUCCGUGGUAAUGCUUUGCGGAACAGUGGAAGGCGGAAUACUUUCAAGGAGCCCAUGGGUAGGUGGUGGAUCCCAACCACCAUGUGAUAGCAAUGACGACUGCCAUUGUGUUCCCUACCCUGGCACCACAUGCACUGGCAUUUGUAUCAAACCAGAAGGCCGAACCCCGUAUUGCUGGAGAUACUCGCACACUAUUCAAGGUUAAAUGGUUCAAUUUCGGCCCCCAUAGCAACGGACUACGAGUAAUAUUUUAAUAACGAUACAAUAUUGUUACGUAACACAAACCCUGGUUAAUGAACUCUCAGAAUCAAUGUCACAGAUGUUGAACAAAAUUCAAAUAGUGACACACUUGGUCAAGUCAAAGAUUUCAUCUAUAUAAAAAUGGGUACAUUUGGAUCAUGUUCUUUACCGCCGCUGCACUUCUAGAGGAUAGAUGUAUAUUCAGAGUUCAUUCGCAAUCACACUAAGAAAACAGUUGAAUAAAUCUACCGUUAUGAACGACAGCAGUGCUACUGCAAGAUAUA